rnacentral:lncRNA from 1 species
CACUGUAGUCAUUUCUGGAAUUAAAACAAUAAAAUGACAUUUCUACUAAAAUGUUUUUCUAGCUAGAGGUGACAAGUGUGGCUGUAAGUCCUUGAUGAAAAGUCUGGCUCUGAGCUGCAGUCCUGGCACUCUCCAUUGACCCCGCAUCCCAUACUCAGUCGUCUUCAUCAGUACAAGAAUAGUGACCCCUGCCUCCACGAUGUUCAGACACACUGUGGUGGCUUGCACUAUGCCUAACUUUGCAGUCCCCAAAAAAACCAUGAAGCCCUGAGAGUAAUGAAAAGCUUCCUGACAUUGAGGUCACUGUGGAAGAACCACCUAAGCUAAAGAUUCUUUUGAGAACAAGGGCUAGCCUGUGGUUUCAUGGCCUUUCUUCCAUUUGGGGUUCUUGCCAAGUGGAAUUUAAAUGACCUCUUAUCAAGAUGGAUAAACCCAAGUUUCCCAGUGCUGGAAUACAGAAAAUGGAUGGACAAGAUGUCUUUUUGUCACUUCCAGCUGGAUCUACCAUGAAAGACGUCAGAGUCCAGGAAGAGAGACUGACUGGGCAACAUGUUAUUCAGAAUUAGAGAAGAUGAUGUGGUGAUGGAAGAAGAGGUCAGAGAGGGAGAUUUGAAGAUGUUGCAGUUCUGGCCUUCAAGAUGGAGUCAGGGGCUAUCUUCAAGAGAGAAGAUCUUGAUCUGUGGCCCAGGCUGCAGUACAGU